rnacentral:lncRNA from 14 species
GGAGUGGCGGCAGGCGUGAAGCAGCGGGUUGGGGGUCCCGGUCGAGACAUUAAUCAGAGCAUAUACUGCAGUCUCCUCAGAAGUGUGCUUAUGUGAGUCGUAUUCUGCUUAUGGCUGUCCUGCUGAUUUCUCCCUGAUAACGAGACCCUGUGUGAACUGGAGUAUUUGUACUGAAUGAAAACCAGGCUCCUUGCUCCCACCUCCAAGACCCUCGGUAAGUUGGAGUGAUCACACUGGCAUUAUCUUUAACCCUACUCUGUACUCUCCCUGGACAUUUUCUUCUUCCCUCACCCUAUAUCCUUUUUGUGUUGUCAUGUGAGGCCCCUUCAGCAUGGG